rnacentral:rRNA from 1 species
CAGCGAUUGACGUUACUCGCAGAAGAAGCACCGGCUAACUCCGUGCCAGCAGCCGCGGUAAUACGGAGGGUGCAAGCGUUAAUCGGAAUUACUGGGCGUAAAGCGCACGCAGGCGGUCUGUCAAGUCGGAUGUGAAAUCCCCGGGCUCAACCUGGGAACUGCAUCCGAAACUGGCAGGCUAGAGUCUUGUAGAGGGGGGUAGAAUUCCAGGUGUAGCGGUGAAAUGCGUAGAGAUCUGGAGGAAUACCGGUGGCGAA